rnacentral:rRNA from 1 species
CAGCCGCCACGGUAAUGCGAAGGGGGCUAGCGUUGCUCGGAAUGACUGGGCGUAAAGGGCGCGUAGGCGGUUUGUACAGUUGGAUGUGAAAUUCCUGGGCUUAACCUGGGGGCUGCAUUCAAUACGUGCAGGCUUGAGUGGGGAAGAGGGUCGUGGAAUUCCCAGUGUAGAGGUGAAAUUCGUAGAUAUUGGGAAGAACACCGGUGGCGAAGGCGGCGACCUGGUCCUUGACUGACGCUGAGGCGCGAAAGCGUGGGGAGCAAACAGGAUUAGAUACCCCCGUAGUCCCUGUCUCUUAUAC